rnacentral:rRNA from 1 species
UGGGGAAUAUUGCACAAUGGGCGCAAGCCUGAUGCAGCGACGCCGCGUGAGGGAUGACGGCCUUCGGGUUGUAAACCUCUUUCAAUAGGGACGAAGCGCAAGUGACGGUACCUAUAGAAGAAGGACCGGCCAACUACGUGCCAGCAGCCGCGGUAAUACGUAGGGUCCGAGCGUUGUCCGGAAUUACUGGGCGUAAAGAGCUCGUAGGUGGUUUGUCGCGUUGUUCGUGAAAACUCACAGCUUAACUGUGGGCGUGCGGGCGAUACGGGCAGACUAUAGUACUGCAGGGGAGACUGGAAUUCCUGGUGUAGCGGUGGAAUGCGCAGAUAUCAGGAGGAACACCGGUGGCGAAGGCUGGUCUCUGGGCAGUAACUGACGCUGAGGAGCGAAAGCGUGGGGAGCGAACA